rnacentral:rRNA from 1 species
CCUACGUGAGGCUGCAGUCGAGAAUCAUUCACAAUGGGGGAAACCCUGAUGGUGCGACGCCGCGUGGGGGAAUGAAGGUCUUCGGAUUGUAAACCCCUGUCAUGUGGGAGCAAAUUAAAAAGAUAGUACCACAAGAGGAAGAGACGGCUAACCCUGUGCCAGAAGCCGAGGUAAUACAGAGGUCUCAAGCGUUGUUCGGAAUCACGGGGCGUAAAGGGUGCGGAGGCUGUUUCGUAAGUCGCGUGUGAAAGGCGCGGGCUCAACCCGCGGACGGCACAUGAUACUGCGAGACUAGAGUAAUGGAGGGGGAACCGGAAUUCUCGGUGUAGCAGUGAAAUGCGUAGAUAUCGAGAGGAACACUCGUGGCGAAGGCGGGUUCCUGGACAUUAACUGACGCUGAGGCACGAAGGCCAGGGGAGCGAAAGGGAUUAGAUACCCGGGUAGUC